rnacentral:rRNA from 1 species
AUUGAACGCUGGCGGCAUGCUUUACACAUGCAAGUCGAACGGCAGCGCGGGCUUCGGCCUGGCGGCGAGUGGCGAACGGGUGAGUAAUAUAUCGGAACGUACCCUAGAGUGGGGGAUAACCAGUCGAAAGAUUGGCUAAUACCGCAUACGAUCUCAGGAUGAAAGUGGGGGACCGCAAGGCCUCAUGCUCCUGGAGCGGCCGAUAUCUGAUUAGCUAGUUGGUGGGGUAAAGGCCCACCAAGGCGACGAUCAGUAGCUGGGCUGAGAGGACGAUCAGCCAAACUGGGACGGAGACACGGCCCAGACUCCUACGGGAGGCAGCAGUGGGGAAUUUUGGACAAUGGGGGCAACCCUGAUCCAGCAAUGCCGCGUGAGUGAAGAAGGCCUUCGGGUUGUAAAGCUCUUUUGUCAGGGAAGAAAAGGCCUGGGCUAAUAUCCUGGGUUCAUGACGGUACCUGAAGAAUAAGCACCGGCUAACUACGUGCCAGCCGCCGCCGUAACAC